CACUAACCCUAAAUGGGAUUGGCUGAGGGCACUGGGAUUUGUUCGGCAUGCCUGUGACUUGAAUAUGCAUCUAAUCAUCAAAGCUUUUUGGGUUCUGUGAAACUUUGAGAGACAAUCUCAAAUUCUUCUAUAGCUUGCAUUAUCAUUAUCCCCAUUAUUUAAGUAUAUGUUUCUGUAUCUGCUUUGGCAUGAUCAUGUACUCAUAGAGACAAUGUGAUGGGAGGGCAAAGUCUCCUUUUCUCUUUGUGAAGGAAAAAAAAGUAAGCUUUGGCUGAAGAAGAAAGAGUUGAAACUAACAGAUAGAGGCGAGACCUUUAAGUGUUGGCCUUUUCUCUUUAAGAGAGAUCACACAGUCAUCAUUCUCUGUUUCAGGCCAAACAGAAAGUUCCUUCCUCAUCAACUCACCAAACUCUUUCAGGUUUCGAUCAUAAUCACGUAGAAAAAGAAGUCUUCAUGGUGAUAAUUGUUCUUGUUUCACAAAGAUUUCAAAGAGUCCAUGCAAGAUGUCUGAGAGAAGAUCUGUGUGAGAUUUGACAGCAGAAUUUAGAAGUGAAGAAUUCCAGACCCAAAUUCGAGUGCAACUGGUUACGAAAGAAGCACUUGACAGCAAAUUGUUAUCGCGAAUUUGACUAGCUUGGA